rnacentral:rRNA from 1 species
GAUGGCGGCCAUAGACUCCAGGGAGAUACCUGAUCUCAGCCGAACUCAGCAGUCAAGGCUGGAGUCGUUUAUGUAGAUGUGCGGUGCGCGAGCCCGUGACAGGACAUAAAGCUGCCACAU